rnacentral:rRNA from 1 species
AGGUCUUGACAUCCCGAUGCUAUUCUAGAGAUAGAAGUUACUUCGGUACAUCGGUGACAGGUGGUGCAUGGUUGUCGUCAGCUCGUGUCGUGAGAUGUUGGGUUAAGUCCCGCAACGAGCGCAACCCCUAUUGUUAGUUGCCAUCAUUCAGUUGGGCACUCUAGCGAGACUGCCGGUAAUAAACCGGAGGAAGUGGGAUGACGUCAAAUCAUCAUGCCCCUUAUGACCUGGGCUACACACGUGCUACAAUGGUUGGUACAACGAGUUGCGAGUCGGUGACGGCGAGCUAAUCUCUUAAAGCCAAUCUCAGUUCGGAUUGUAGGCUGCAACUCGCCUACAUGAAGUCGGAAUCGCUAGUAAUCGCGGACCAGCACGCCGCGGUGAAUACGUUCCCGGGCCUU